UCUGGCGGCAGUAGCGCGGUGGUCCCACCUGACCCCAUGCCGAACUCAGAAGUGAAACGCCGUAGCGCCGAUGGUAGCGUG
rnacentral:rRNA from 1 species